rnacentral:rRNA from 1 species
UUGUACACACCGCCCGUCACACCAUGAGAGUUUGUAACACCCAAAGCCGGUGAGGUAACCUUUUAGGAGCCAACCGUCUAAGGUGGGACAGAUGAUUAGGGUGAAGUCGUAACAAGGUAGCCGUAGGAGAACCUGCGGCUGGGUCACCUCCUUUCU